rnacentral:tRNA from 1 species
GCCCGAGUGGUGGAACUGGUAGACACAAGGGACUUAAAAUCCCUCGGCCUCACGGCCGUGCCGGUUCGAUCCCGGCCUCGGGCACCA